CCAAUAGCGUAUAUUAAAGUUGUUGCAGUUAAAAAGCUCGUAGUUGAAUUUUGGAUUCUACCAGUCGGUCCAUCUUUUGAUGAGUACUGGUUGUGUGGGGUCUAUCCGCCUGGUGAUACGUAAUGUCCUUUAUUGGAUGUUGCGGGUAGUCAGGACCUUUACCUUGAAAAAAUUAGAGUGUUUAAAGCAGGCUUAUGCCGGAAUACAUUAGCAUGGAAUAAUAGAAUAGGACGAAGUUGUUUUAUUUUGUUGGUUUAUAGGACAACCGUAAUGAUUAAUAGGGAUAGUUGGGGGCAUUAGUAUUCAAUUGUCAGAGGUGAAAUUCUUGGAUUUAUUGAAGACUAACUACUGCGAAAGCAUUUGCCAAGGAUGUUUUCAUUAAUCAAGAACGAAAGUUAGGGGAUCGAAGACGAUCAGAUACCGUCGUAGUCUUAACCAUAAACUAUGCCGACUAGGGAUCGGGCGAUGUUGUUUCAAUGACUCGCUCGGCACCUUAUG
rnacentral:misc_RNA from 1 species